rnacentral:rRNA from 1 species
GACGACGCUGGCGGCGUGCCUAAUACAUGCAAGUAGAACGAGUUGCGAACGGGUGAGUAACGCGUGGUAACCUGCAUCAUAGAGGGGGAUAACUACUGGAAACGGUAGCUAAUACCGCAUACCCUCGGAUGUGCCCAGAAGGGAUUAUCUAGUAGGUGGGGUAACGGCUCACCUAGGCGCCGAUCCCUAGCUGGUCAGAGAGGAUGACCAGCCAAACUGGAACGGAGACACGGUCCAGACUCCUACGGGAGGCAGCAGUGGGGAAUAUUGCACAAUGGGCGCAAGCCUGAUCCAGCCAUCCCGCGUGUGCGAUGAAGGCCUUCGGGUUGUAAAGCACUUUUGGCAGGAAAGCGGUACCUGCAGAAUAAGCACCGGCUAACUACGUGCCAGCAGCCGCGGUAAUAC